rnacentral:rRNA from 1 species
ACGGAGGGUGCAAGCGUUACUCGGAAUCACUGGGCGUAAAGGACGCGUAGGCGGAUUAUCAAGUCUCUUGUGAAAUCUAACGGCUUAACCGUUAAACUGCUUGGGAAACUGAUAAUCUAGAGUAGGGGAGAGGCAGAUGGAAUUCUUGGUGUAGGGGUAAAAUCCGUAGAUAUCAAGAAGAAUACCUAUUGCGAAGGCGAUCUGCUGGAACUUAACUGACGCUAAUGCGUGAAAGCGUGGGGAGCAAACAG